rnacentral:rRNA from 1 species
CAGCCGCCGCGGUAAUACGUAGGUGACAAGCGUUGUCCGGAAUUAUUGGGCGUAAAGGGCUCGCAGGCGGUUUCUUAAGUCUGAUGUGAAAGCCCCCGGCUCAACCGGGGAGGGUCAUUGGAAACUGGGAAGCUUGAGUGCAGAAGAGGAGAGUGGAAUUCCACGCGUAGCGGUGAAAUGCGUAGAGAUGUGGAGGAACACCAGUGGCGAAGGCGACUCUCUGGUCUGUAACUGACGCUGAGGAGCGAAAGCGUGGGGAGCGAACAGGAUUAGAUACCCCUGUAGUCCCUGUCUCUUAUAC